GAUGAACGCUGGCGGCGUGCCUAAUACAUGCAAGUCGAGCGAACGGACGAGAAGCUUGCUUCUCUGAUGUUAGCGGCGGACGGGUGAGUAACACGUGGAUAACCUACCUAUAAGACUGGGAUAACUUCGGGAAACCGGAGCUCAUACCGGAUAAUAUUUUGAACCGCAUGGUUCAAAAGUGAAAGACGGUCUUGCUGUCACUUAUAGAUGGAUCCGCGCUGCAUUAGCUAGUUGGUAAGGUAACGGCUUACCAAGGCAACGAUGCAUAGCCGACCUGAGAGGGGGAUCGGCCACACUGGAACUGAGACACGGUCCAGACUCCUACGGGAGGCAGCAGUAGGGAAUCUUCCGCAAUGGGCGAAAGCCUGACGGAGCAACGCCGCGUGAGUGAUGAAGGUCUUCGGAUCGUAAAACUCUGUUAUUAGGGAAGAACAUAUGUGUAAGUAACUGUGCACAUCUUGACGGUACCUAAUCAGAAAGCCACGGCUAACUACGUG
rnacentral:rRNA from 1 species